UUACUAUCUUAGUGGCGGACGGGUGAGUAACGCGUGGGUAACCUGCCUUACACUGGGGGAUAACACUUAGAAAUAGGUGCUAAUACCGCAUAACAGGAGAAGAUGCAUGUCUUUUCCUUGAAAAUUCCGGUGGUGUAAGAUGGACCCGCGUCUGAUUAGCUUGUUGGCGGGGUAACGGCCCACCAAGGCGACGAUCAGUAGCCGGCCUGAGAGGGUGAACGGCCACAUUGGGACUGAGACACGGCCCAAACUCCUACGGGAGGCAGCAG
rnacentral:rRNA from 1 species